GAUCAUGGCUCAGGAUGAACGCUAGCUACAGGCUUAACACAUGCAAGUCGAGGGGCAGCAUGUUGGUUGCUUGCAACCAAUGAUGGCGACCGGCGCACGGGUGAGUAACGCGUAUCCAACCUACCCUUGUCCAUCGGAUAACCCGUCGAAAGGCGGCCUAACACGAUAUGCGGUUCACAGCAGGCAUCUAACGUGAACGAAAUGUAAAGGAGAGGGAUGGGGAGUGCGU
rnacentral:rRNA from 1 species